rnacentral:rRNA from 1 species
CGCGACCCCAGGUCAGGCGGGACUACCCG